AGAACAUCCAAAAUCAAGUUUGGUUGGCGCAGGACCUUGUCCUAAAAAGCAAGGGGAUUAUAUUAUUGACUAUCGGAGUGUGAUUGGGAGGUAUGGGUAUGUAUAGGUUUACUGUGCCGGUUGAAAUUGAUGGGGUUUUGGAUCCUGUACCAUAAUUAACAUGACUCGAUUUGAGAAAUUUUCCCAGCAUUAUGUUAGAAAAUGUCAAACAAAACUGCUCUGCUGGUAGGGUCCAUGUGGAAUUCAGCAGCAAGUUUACAAGUUAAAAUGAAGGUACUCUUCGGAUCAAGGUGCCAAAUGUAUUAAAGCUACUGAGUUUAAUUACAAUCUAGUAAUAGCCUUCCAUUCCAAUAAUAUCUAAUGAGGGGAAGAAAUCUUACUUCACCACUGGAAACAAAUAUUCAAGAAAUAGUCUCUCAAUAGCUAAAGGGAAGCUACAAUGUUCAGUUGCAUACCCAUAAAAUGCAUAUGCCUACUGACUUCUGGGCGCUUAAACCUGCUGCUUCUCUAUCUCUACUUGGCUGUUUGUUUUUUUUUGUUUUUUCAAAGUCUUGGGAAGCUAUUUUCUUCCCCAUGAUUCAAAGUGGAGUAACACCUUGUGCUUAAAAACUAUAAGACACAACAAAGGAGCAUUACCAAACAUAAUUGUUCAUCAAGCCAUAUGAGACCAUGACUGGUAAAGAAUUCAAAUCAGGAGGCCAAAAAUGGAACGCUGGAGAUAUCCUGGAAACUUGACGGCCGCAAGCAAUUUGAAAGUGGGGCUCCUUUGCAUCCCACUUUCCAACAAUACCAAUGUUGAAGAACAAAGCCAAUCAUUGAUAUGGGCAUUGUUAUCCAUCGAUCCAAUGUCUCCUUCACUCGCCCACUACUGGGUCAUAGUUUGUUGGGACGAUCGUUUUAAUUUCAGGGGCAAUUUUGACACCAAGCUGGAUGCCCGACGGGCCUGUCUGAGUUCUUAUUGCCAUAGCCAGGGGUUCUAUGGCCGGUAUAAACAACAUCGGUGACAAAGGACAUCCCUGAUUUGAUGAAUUCGAUUAAUUCCUGGCAAAUGUGGAUUUAUCUACUGAGGAAAGAUCAACUAAGGUUACCCAAUUUCACUGGAAUUCAUGAGUAAGAGAAAUAAUCUCAAGGAGUCGUACUAAAAUGAUUCCAGGAAUAAAAGGCCAUUUCUCCAUUUUUGUUUAAGCAAGCAAAGGAUAAAAUGUGCCUCAGGAAAGUCGCAACAGCAGAGGAUACUUCAAAAGAACAGGAGAGAGUUGGAAGUAGUGCAUCUCAA